GCUCCAAGAUGGCACCAGGACAUGUAAAACAUCAGUAACUCAAAAACAAUAAAAAAAAAUCAUAAGAAAGGAACUUUUGUCAGGCCAUUCAAUACGGCUUUGUUUUUGAUAUCUUAUAAUACAAAGAUGCUACUUUACAAAAGGUUAAUGGUAACAGUCAACAGGAUCAAACCUUUAAAAUGAGUUUAAACCUUGUGUUUCCUAGGCCACCACCAAACAUUCUACUAUAAACAGGGAAUAUUAGCCAUGACAGUGGCAACAAUUGAGUAUUAUUCAUAAACCAGAGGAAUGAUCUGGAGAGGAGGAGGGAAGACUAGCACAGGACACCACAACAUGGGACAACUCUCUACAGGACUCCAGCUAAGAUCCACACAAGAAAGGCUGAAAGACAGAAGAAUCAAAGUAUGAUAAAGGAAUGCAUCUAUAACGAUUAAUUAUAUCUAUUACUUUAAACGGAACAAAAAUAAGAGCUUACCAGUAUGAGCACACACUCUGGAGAGAAGAUUACAGGAAUAUGCCUCAUCUGACCUAGUACCGUAAGGUGAGACAAGACUAUCCUAUAUAAAGAGGAUUCAAAGCUGUACAAAUAAACACUGGGAAAAUUAAAUAAUGCCUGAAGCCAGAGCGAAUAGAUACAACUUGUCCAAGAAAUGUAAGUUGGAAAUAAAAAAUUUUAC